rnacentral:rRNA from 1 species
CGAGCGAAGCGGGAAAAGCUCAAAUUUGUAAUCUGGCGCCUUCGGCGUCCGAGUUGUAAUCUCGAGAAGUGUUUUCCGUGACAGACCGCAUACAAGUCUCUUGGAACAGAGCGUCAUAGUGGUGAGAACCCAGUACACGAUGCGGAUGCCUAUUACUUUGUGAUACACUUUCGAAGAGUCGAGUUGUUUGGGAAUGCAGCUCAAAUUGGGUGGUAAAUUCCAUCUAAAGCUAAAUAUUGGCGAGAGACCGAUAGCGAACAAGUACCGUGAGGGAAAGAUGAAAAGCACUUUGGAAAGAGAGUUAACAGUACGUGAAAUUGUUGGAAGGGAAACACAUGCAGUGAUACUUGCUAUUCGGGGCAACUCGAUUGGCAGGCCCGCAUCAGUUUUUCGGGGCGGAAAAUCAUAGAGAGAAGGUAGCAGUCUCGGCUGUGUUAUAGCUCUUUAUUGGAUUCGCCCUGGGGGACUGAGGAACGCAGCGUGCUUUUUGCAUGAGCUUCGGCUUAUCCACGCUUAGG